UACGGAGGGGGCGAGCGUUAUUCGGAAUUAUUGGGCGUAAAGGGCGCGUAGGCGGCCCGGUAAGUCAAAGGUGAAAUCCCUCGGCUCAACUGAGGAACUGCCUUUGAACCUGUCGGGCUUGAGGCCGGGAGGGGGUAGCGGAAUUCCCAGUGUAGCGGUGAAAUGCGUAGAUAUUGGGAGGAACACCAAUGGCGAAGGCAGCCUUCUGGGCCAACACUGACGCUCAUGCACGAAAGCGUGGGGAGCAAACAGG
rnacentral:rRNA from 1 species